GAUUGUCGGGUUAGCAAUAAUUCGGCGGUCCUAGUGGUCGCACGGGUGAGUAACGCGUGGGUGACCUGCCCUGGAGAUCGGGAUACCCCUUCGAAAGGAGGGCUAAUACCGGAUACGUUCCUCGGGUCGCAAGAUCUGGGGAGGAAAGGUGGCGCAUAGCUGCCGCUCUUGAGUAGGGGCUCGCGACCUAUCAGCUAGUUGGCGGGGUAAUGGCCCAUCCAAUGGCUAUGACGGGUAGCUGGUCUGAGAGGACGACCAGCCACACGGGGACUGAGUACACGGCCCCGACUCCUACGGGUAGGCAGCAGUGGGGAAUUUUCCGCAAUGGGCGAAAGCCUGACGGAGUGACGCCGCGUGUGGGAUGAAGGCCUUCGGGUCGUAAACCACUGUCAGUGGGAAAGAGGGGUGUCGGCGCGAUAACCGCCGGCAUCUGACGGUACCUGCAGAGGAAGCCCCGGCUAACUCUGUGCCAGCAGCCGCGGUAAGACAGAGGGGGCAAGCGUUGCUCGGAAUUACUGGGCGUAAAGGGCGCGUAGGCGGGAUGGCAAGUCGGUCGUGAAAUCCCUCAGCUCAACUGAGGAACGUCGAUCGAAACUGCCGUGCUUGAGUGUGGGAAGGUGCGUGGAUUCCCGGUGUAACGGUGAAAUGCGUAGAUUCGGGAGGAACAACCUGUGGGCGAAAGCGG
rnacentral:rRNA from 1 species